rnacentral:rRNA from 1 species
GAUGAACGCUGGCGGCGUGCCUAAUACAUGCAAGUCGAGCGAACGGACGAGAAGCUUGCUUCUCUGAUGUUAGCGGCGGACGGGUGAGUAACACGUGGAUAACCUACCUAUAAGACUGGGAUAACUUCGGGAAACCGGAGCUAAUACCGGAUGAUAUUUUGAACCGCAUGGUUCAAAAGUGAAAGACGGUCUUGCUGUCACUUAUAGAUGGAUCCGCGCUGCAUUAGCUAGUUGGUAAGGUAACGGCUUACCAAGGCAACGAUGCAUAGCCGACCUGAGAGGGUGAUCGGCCACACUGGAACUGAGACACGGUCCAGACUCCUACGGGAGGCAGCAGUAGGGAAUCUUCCGCAAUGGGCGAAAGCCUGACGGAGCAACGCCGCGUGAGUGAUGAAGGUCUUCGGAUCGUAAAACUCUGUUAUUAGGGAAGAACAUAGGUGUAAGUAACUGUGCGCAUCUUGACGGUACCUAAUCAGAAAGCCACGGCUAACUACGUG